UACGUAGGGUGCAAGCGUUAAUCGGAAUUACUGGGCGUAAAGCGUGCGCAGGCGGUUUUGUAAGUUUGUCGUGAAAUCCCCGGGCUCAACCUGGGAAUGGCGAUGAAGACUGCAAGGCUAGAGUUUGGCAGAGGGGGGGUAGAAUUCCACGUGUAGCAGUGAAAUGCGUAGAUAUCAGGAGGAACACCUGUGGUGUAGACAGCUUACUGGACCAUCACUGACGCUGAGACACGAAAGCGUGGGUAGCAAACAGG
rnacentral:rRNA from 1 species